GUAUCUUCAUAUUUAUUGAUCUGUGAGGCAAAAUGUGCACAUCUUACAUGCCCAGCUGGGUGGGUUUUCACAAACUAGGCACACCCACACACCGCAGCCCUGGGGGACAGGCAGGACCUUCCCGAUCCGGGUAAACCCCUUUAUGCUGUGCUCUGUGACCUUCUCCAAGGACAGAGCUCUCUGGGGUCUGGACGCUUGAACAAAGGUUUCAUGCUCUGGUUCCCUCCAAGGAGUGUGUCCUGUUCCUCUGUGUGCUGGCUCCCUUUGCUCCAGGAAACGCUCCCAGGACUUAAGGAUUCAUCCUCAAUAAUGCACGUAAUCCUCAGAGCACCACGGUGUACCUGUGUGGGAAUGACCACCAUGCGUUUCCCCACGCUCCUGUUAACGGGCACCGUUCAGUUCCUAUGCUGGGAAGAACCACGCCGUGCUGAGUAGUUGAAUCCCUGUCACUGACAGGGAUGCACUCCUCCCUCCGCGUCUGCAGCUUGGGUUCCAGCACCCCAGAGAGCAAAACCCACUUUACAUCAAAUGGCACAGUGUUUGAGGACAACGCCUACACACAUCUUCUGUGAAAAGUGGACUCUGUUUUUCAUUAUAUAGGAGGAAUUCUUCUUUCUUGCAAUGCACAUGAGCUCUUUGUAAGUUGCUUAUUACAGCUCAGCGUCUGAAACCAGCGGUGAACAGAACAGAUGCAGAUGCGGCAGCACAAAGUCCAAGGAAGCAGACAGAGUCAAACAGCUAAGCACACUCUCUGCAGCCACCUCUGCAAUGCCAGGACCAGGGUAACAGUCACCACGGAACAGGUAAACCUGCAGUACCGGUGGUUUCACACGAAUCAAUUCUGGUUCCCACUCGUGUAAAUGACCACUGUGCAUUUUGCCUGGCAGAGCUUGCAUUUCCUCUGUAGGAGAGUUGCAAACACAACGCCCUGUGGUCUCCACCAUCCUCUCGGGCAGAGCUGGCCUCCCCGUUGCUCAACACAAACAGAGAGGGCAGAGAACACACAUCCACUUGUGAACGUCGCUGACCUGGAAGUGACAGACUUUGUCUCUGCUCAGUUUUCUUUGCUGUGAACGUCACAGUGGUCACAUAUGGAUGCCAGGAAUACUAGCAAAGCAGGCCAUGACAGGCAGCAACUUCCCACAAACGCACUGAAGUGGAAAGGGGAAAUGUUUGUUUCUCUGCUAAGCCGGCAGACAGCAAUGCCUCAUGUGAGAUGUCAUGUGAAUAAGAGCACACACGAGAGCGCACAGCCCACGUGGUGCCCCAGCUCUCCCAGCCUGUGAGCCAUCUGGUGUGACAGACCCCUCGGUCCCCAGCAGCCAGCCUGAGGUUCGGAGUGGCACAGGGAGACAUCACAGGCUCCUCCAGGCACCAGCGUGAGUCCCAGCUCUCCUGAGGGCAGCCCUUGAAGGCUACAGCACAGAGAGACGGCUGUGUGCAUGGCGGACUCCUCCCCACCCGCCUGGGUCCUUUGCUCUGGACUUUGACGCAGGAAGGGUUUCCCCACGGCCCAUUCACUGUCCCUGACCCUGAACAUGGGGAUAGAACCUGCGGCUGGGCAACCUCUGGGCUCUGUCCAACCCAGGACCGCCACGUGGCUUUGGCUGCCUUUGUAACCUUGGUAGCAUCUUUAAUUGCACAUGAUGGAGAUGUGGGCAUUUUCCUGAGCUCCAAUGGCAUCUGCAUCCCUAGAGUCAUGAUUUCCCUUUCCACCUCCACAGGACUCACCACACUGAGGGGGCCCCCAGCCACAGAGCCUCACAGAGCUCUUCCAGUGCACGACAACAGGAGAAGGUAUCCGGAAAGGAAGGAGAAUCUGGAAUUGCAUGAGUAACAAACACUUAGGAAUUUAGACUCCAAAAUCACUCGCAAAGGAGCCCCGUCAGCCUUCCCCGUCUGACUGCAGCCGUCCUCACGGCAGAGGGUUAAGGCUAGACCUCCACUGCUCAGGAGCACAGGCUGUGUGGCCCCUAGUCUCAGCCCUGGAAUGCUCUGCUUCCCGGAACUGUGGUUCCCCAUGCCGUGGACCAGCUGGGCCUUGGGGCAAGGGAGAGGUGGUCUCCCCGUGUCCUGCUCCUGGCCUGUGCGUCCUUCCUGGCAAACUCACAUCUUACUGUGAGACACCAGAAGCAAAGAUGGCCAGCCCCAUCCUGCCUUGCCCAGCCGUAAAACAGAAGUGCAGGAUGCGGAGUCACAGCCUCAGCUGUGGCAACUGUGGUUUUCUCACCAAGCGUUUCACAGAGAAGCCACCCACCAGGUCGGGGGCCUCCUUCCCCGGUGGGGAGGAGGAGCGCUGUCCUCCUAGCUGUUCUUCUGCUCCCUGUGCCAAAGCUGAUCGGCCUCGUUGACCCAGUCAUGAAAGACAAAUGGGCAGCUCCAAGGUGUGCCGGGCAGAGGGGCUCUGAGUGCUGACUUGGUCUCUGGGUUUAAAGACAUCGUACCGUGAGCUGUGCCCUAGAUAGAGUGGGGAGCCCCACCUGGGCCACCUCCCCUGAGCCUGAAGAGGGUGACAGCGGCACGCUCUGCUCACCAGGACUGGGCACCCGCAGGGCUUGAUUCGGAUCAGUGGGGCUCUUCACGAGUGAGCAAGGCACACAUCAAGCCAUUCCAACAAACACACGGUUGCAGACAGAACCCAAGAGAUCAGAGAGACCAAUGGGGAAUAACAGGGAGAUUUUUUCCCGGAGUUUAGAUGCACAACGACCCCCCCACUCUCAGCCAAAGUGCUGGGCGUUAGUACAAAGGUGCGGUUCUGGUUUUGUACAUUUGGCAGAGGGCGCUGGCCUUUAGAAAGGGGGAGACGGGGCAAGCGAGGGCACAGGGGCGGGACAAAGCAGUGAAUAACCUAGCCUUCAAAGAAGACAGAGCCUUCUGCCUCCUGUGAGAACAAGAUGAUGCAACCUCUGCUCCCAGGACAGCUGUCAAUCUUAUGUGACCAGAACAAGAAGUCAUAGCUACGGUGUGGGGAGGGGGCUUGAGGGUCAUUGCUCUUUAAAUUCGGCUUUAACACUACCACAGUAACGCUAGAUUCUAGAAAACACGUCAGCCUUACCCAAGUGUGAUGUUGCACAUCUGUAAUGCUAGUGCCCUGGGAGGCUGAGGCAGGAAGAUGACACGUUCAAUUCCAGCCUGGGCAAUUUCGCAAGACCCUGUCUCACAGUUUGAAAACUUCAAAGGAGCUGGGGAUGUAGCAGGGAGAAAGGCUCAAUCCUCAGAACCAGCGACAACCACAAGGUCAGCCUGAGCUAUCUGCAGUUUCCCGAGAUAACACAGUGUGUUUUUCACUCAAGUAACCAACGCUUUCACAGGAGCCCUGUGAGAUGCCGGGGCUGCCUCAGGAUCCAGACACCUCCAGCUCUGGUUCUGACCUGCACUGGAACCUGGACAGACUCUGAGGCCAUUGAGGGGAAGGAGAGGAAAGAGAAAGUGGAAAUGGAACUUUCUUUUGUGUCUUUAAACCCCUGAAGCUCCGCAUCAGUGAGGAUCGCCAGGGAUGCACAAUCCCUUUUCAGGCCCGGGCUCCGGGUUACAGAAUUUGAUCGGCACGGUGCAGGCAGGAAGAGCUGCACCUGGAUUUCACCUGCAGAGGCUGCUCUUAGCCAUCGCUGUGAGAGACUGUGUUUCUUAUGGUAAAACCUCGGGUCUAAACAGGCCUGGGAGGACGCACUCCUGCCCAAGAGAGAGACGCACGCCCAGGCCAGGACGGUAAGGAGAGGGCGGAGUAGAUGGGUAGUUCGAGGAGGGGAAGGCGGCUCAAGAGAAAGACUCCUGGAAGUUUGGCUCCGGAAGUGUGCUUCUAGGUUACCUAAGACUCGACGUCAGCUGUUAAAAAAAAGAAAUCAAUAAAAAGGAAAGAGCAUCUGUCUGUGUUCCUUGGCAUUCCUCUGUGGUCCAGGGAAUCAAGGUCCCCACACGAGUUGGGAGUGGGGAGUCCAGGCCAGAGCCUCGGCCCUGUGAGGGCGCCUGGCCGCUCCCCAAGACACAGGCAGCUGGCAGUGCCCAGAAGCUGAGCAGAAGGGGCCAGAGAAUUUCACCCACGAACGGCAAACACAAACCGAGUCCUGAGGAUCCUCGACAUGAGAGUGUAGCUGCUGGAACGACCUCUCAGCAGUGAGGGGAACAGAGGCCAACCGCAGCAUGGGGCCACAGAAGGGACACAGAGACGUGACAGCCACGGGGCACCGGUGACUGGGCUCCCGUGCACGUGUGUGAUGGGUUGCACGGAUGUGUGGGCAUAUGUGUGCGUGUGUCGUAUGCAAAUGAGGGUACUGAAAGGAGGAGGCAGAAGCAAUCUUUGAAGACUUCGCAGCUGGCAUUUCCUAAAACCAGGGGAAGACCUCCAGUGCAGACCUGCUGUCUGCUCAGCAGCUUAUAUCUGACCUGCUGAUUGGUUUGUUUGUUUUUUGUCUUUUUGAGACAGGGUCUCCCUAUGCAGUUCAGGCGGGUCUCGAGCUCACUUUGUA